AUUGAACGCUGGCGGCAUGCCUUACACAUGCAAGUCGAACGGCAGCACGGGAGCUUGCUCCUGGUGGCGAGUGGCGAACGGGUGAGUAAUACAUCGGAACGUACCCAGGAGUGGGGGAUAACGUAGCGAAAGUUACGCUAAUACCGCAUAUUCUGUGAGCAGGAAAGCGGGGGAUCGCAAGACUCCGCGCUCUUGGAGCGGCCGAUGUCGGAUUAACUAGUUGGUGAGGUAAAAGCUCACCAAUGCGACGAUCCGUAGCAGGUCUGAGAGGAUGAUCUGCCACACUGGGACUGAGACACGGCCCAGACUCCUACGGGAGGCAGCAGUGGGGAAUUUUGGACAAUGGGGGCAACCCCGAUCCAGCCAUGCCGCGUGAGUGAAGAAGGCCUUCGGGUUGUAAAGCUCUUUCGGCGGGGAAGAAAUGGCAACGGCUAAUAUCCGUUGUUGAUGACGGUACCCGCAUAAGAAGCACCGGCUAACUACGUGCCAGCAGCCGCGGUAACAC
rnacentral:rRNA from 1 species